UACGUAGGUGGCGAGCGUUAUCCGGAAUUACUGGGCGUAAAGCGCACGCAGGCGGUCUUUUAAGUUUGACGUGAAAGCUCCCGGCUUAACUGGGAGAGGUCGUUGAAAACUGGAAGGCUUGAGGCAAUGAGAGGGGUGUAGAAUUCCCGGUGUAGUGGUGGAAUGCGUAGAUAUCGGGAGGAAUACCAGUGGCGAAAGCGGCACCCUAGCGUUGUUCUGACGCUCAUGUGCGAAAGCGUGGGGAGCGAACGGG
rnacentral:rRNA from 1 species